CCAACCGUCAAACUUGUUUGCAUAUGCUUCCAGAUCACAUAAGCAAAAAAUCACAAAAAACAAACAUUCAGAGAUCAAGUAACGGGACAAAGCUUUUCGACGGUUAUAAACGAAAAAUCACGAUUUAACGGUUAUUUUAACUCUGAUUUUGAUGAUUUUUUACAGCUACAUUCCUUGACCCUAUAUGAAUAGAAUGAAUGAAUUCGAUCUUCAAUUUAAAAUAUUUACACAAGUGGAUACCACAAAAUCUUAUGUUAUACUUA
rnacentral:lncRNA from 1 species